UAUUGCAAGGACCUUCUUUGCUGCCAGUUAU
rnacentral:piRNA from 1 species